GAUGAACGCUAGCUACAGGCUUAACACAUGCAAGUCGAGGGGAAACGGCAUUGAGUGCUUGCACUCUUUGGACGUCGACCGGCGCACGGGUGAGUAACGCGUAUCCAACCUUCCCAUUACUGUGGGAUAACCUGCCGAAAGGCAGACUAAUACCGCAUAGUCUUCGAUGACGGCAUCAGAUUUGAAGUAAAGAUUUAUCGGUAAUGGAUGGGGAUGCGUCUGAUUAGCUUGUUGGCGGGGUAACGGCCCACCAAGGCUACGAUCAGUAGGGGUUCUGAGAGGAAGGUCCCCCACAUUGGAACUGAGACACGGUCCAAACUCCUACGGGAGGCAGCAGUGAGGAAUAUUGGUCAAUGGACGGAAGUCUGAACCAGCCAAGUAGCGUGCAGGAAGACGGCCCUAUGGGUUGUAAACUGCUUUUGUAUGGGGAUAAAGUUAGGGACGUGUCCCUAUUUGCAGGUACCAUACGAAUAAGGACCGGCUAAUUCCGUGCCAGCAGCCGCGGUAAUACGGAAGGUCCAGGCGUUAUCCGGAUUUAUUGGGUUUAAAGGGAGCGUAGGCUGGAGAUUAAGUGUGUUGUGAAAUGUAGACGCUCAACGUCUGAAUUGCAGCGCAUACUGGUUUCCUUGAGUACGCACAACGUUGGCGGAAUUCGUCGUGUAGCGGUGAAAUGCUUAGAUAUGACGAAGAACUCCGAUUGCGGAAGCAGCUGACGGGAGCGCAACUGAGGUUAAGCUCGAAGGUGCGGGGGAUCAAACAGG
rnacentral:rRNA from 1 species